AAACAACUUCCUUUAUUGUAGAGAAAACAGUUUACAAACACUUCCGACGAUGUCCGGAGGAAGUAUAAAUAUCUGGAUUAACAAGACAGUAUGUUUAGUUUUUCUUCUGUGGAGAUUCAUAUUCUUCUCCAGUUCGAUCUCUUCUUGAAUUGGUUCAGUUCCUUCAGCCUUGUGAAGAUAAAGUUCGGCAUAGCUCAGUCUUUUAUUUAUGCGCACAAGAUAAAUUUGGAACUUUCUCCUCUUAAAUCUGUGGGCCUCACUACGUAUAGGAUACUUUACCCGAUCAUAAAUAUAUAUAUAUUAAUUCUUUUUUCUAAAAACAGUAACAAACUUAUCAUUUAUUCUUAUGGUUUAAUAAAAGCG
rnacentral:lncRNA from 1 species